rnacentral:misc_RNA from 1 species
UGUUCCUUAAUAUGGAUUGAUCUGCCAUAUACAUAAAUAUUAUCACACUACUAUGAUAAGCUUGCUAAUAUAAAACUAAAGUUCAACAAAAAUGAGAGCAAGAUGCAUUACAUUAAGAGGCAGUUUUCUGAGGCUAUCAUUUUACCAUGAAACAUACCUACCAAACUAUAAAGAAACAUAUCUAGCAGCUGAAAAUGGCUAGAGGAAAAAAAAAAUCCAUACUAUUUAGCCAAGGAUGGUUCAUAAAACUAUGAAUCUGAUGUUUAAUAAUUAUUAUAAAAAGAGAGAGAGA